CAAAAGUCCAAGCAUCUAUUUGUUUUAAUUCUUCCAGUAAUUCACUGUGAGAGCAUGAUCUCAGUUUACUGAUUAGUGCUUGGCACUCGGCAGGCUGCAAAUAAAAUAAAUAAUUUAGAUGGCAUGGACUCGAAAUAUAUUCGGACGGGAUUAAAUUGCACAGUCAUUGGGCCAAAGAAACCAACUAUAACCUCUUAUUUGGAGUAUCAUAAAAAAUAUAGUUUACGAUGAUAAAAGAGAUUUUGUAAACGUUAUAGUAAUAAUUAACGGUAAACUAGUGAACAAGGAACACGAGACAAAAAAAAAGUAAAGAAUAGAAGGAAAUCUUGGAUGAGAGAAAGUCAACACUAAUAAAAAUGAUAAAUAUUGAAAAAUUAGCAAUGGUCCCAAUGAAUUUAUCAACAAAAAUAUAGUCGCUGCACAAUACGGGCAUCGCGGCCGUCACAGCACGAAAGAUGGAAUUUUCACCACCACCGGGCGGUGCUGCUCUACAGCCGUUAUCUUAUUCACGUUUCAACUUGUCUUCUCGAUUUUUCUUUACUAAAAAACGCACCUGGAACGGUUAUUAUUUUUAUAUUUUUAAUAAUUGAGUAAAUAAAAAAUGUAUAUUUAUCAAA